AAGGCGAAGCCCGCCGCCGCCGCAAAGCCGAAGCCGAAGCCGAAGGCCGCAGCUAAGCCCAAGGCGGCUGCCAAGCCGAAGGCCAAGGCUCCAGCCAAGUCCAAGGCCGCCGCGAAGCCUAAGGCGGCUGCCAAGCCAGCCGCGAAGCCGAAGGCGGCGGCUAAGCCCAAGUCUCCGGCUAAGCCAGCCGCCAAGCCCAAGGCUGCCCCCAAGGCUAAAGCCAAGCCGGCCGCGAAGCCGAAAGCCAAGGCGGCUCCCAAGCCGAAGGCGGCAGCCGUGACGAAGACGAAG
rnacentral:misc_RNA from 1 species